rnacentral:rRNA from 1 species
CGGCGUGCUUAACACAUGCAAGUCGAACGAAGAGCGAUGGAAGCUUGCUUCUAUCAAUCUUAGUGGCGAACGGGUGAGUAACGCGUAAUCAACCUGCCCUUCAGAGGGGGACAACAGUUGGAAACGACUGCUAAUACCGCAUACGAUCCAAUCUCGGCAUCGAGACUGGAUGAAAGGUGGCCUCUAUUUAUAAGCUAUCACUGAAGGAGGGGAUUGCGUCUGAUUAGCUAGUUGGAGGGGUAACGGCCCACCAAGGCGAUGAUCAGUAGCCGGUCUGAGAGGAUGAACGGCCACAUUGGGACUGAGACACGGCCCAGACUCCUACGGGAGGCAGCAGUGGGGAAUCUUCCGCAAUGGACGAAAGUCUGACGGAGCAACGCCGCGUGAGUGAUGACGGCCUUCGGGUUGUAAAGCUCUGUUAAUCGGGACGAAUGGUUCUUGUGCGAAUAGUGCGAGGAUUUGACG